rnacentral:rRNA from 1 species
UACAGAGGUCUCAAGCGUUGUUCGGAUUCCUUGGGCGUAAAGGGUGCGUAGGCGGCGCGGUAAGUCGGGUGUGAAAUUUCGAGGCUUAACUUCGAAACUGCAUUCGAUACUGCCGUGCUUGAGGACUGGAGAGGAGACUGGAAUUUACGGUGUAGCGGUGAAAUGCGUAGAUAUCGUAAGGAAGACCAGUGGCGAAGGCGGGUCUCUGGACAGUUCCUGACGCUGAGGCACGAAGGCCAGGGGAGCAAACGGG